AGGGAGCGGGGCGGAGGUGCCCGGAGCUGGCUGGCGGCCCCUCAGGGGAACGCUCAGCUGUCCCCGGCGCCUCGAGGGCCCGACGGGAGGAGGCGACGCUCGCUUCGCGGAGGAGCCCGGCCGCGCACAGAUAUUCAAGAUGAUUCAGUAGUCUCGACGUGGAUCAGCUCAGAUCCUGACAGUUAAUCGUGAUAGCGGGGGACACUGUCUUCGUACCUGGAACGCCGGAAGAACCCGCACUGCGCACACAAGGAAAACAACAGUUUAGUGUAAGUUGCUGCCAAAGUACUACACCUGUAGAGGCAGUAAAUUCUUCCUUCACACAAAUAUGCAGAUAAGAAAAUUGAAAACAAAAGUACGUAGGCCAAAAAUGUAGCAUAUUUAGCUGUAAAAAUGUGAGCCAGGAGGUCUGCAUUAGCUGUUCAGCAGCAGUUAAAGACAAAGGGCAUGCUCUGACUAUCCAUGGUAAUCAAAUACCUUAAAAAGAUUCCCUCCAGUACAAAGCUGUUCAUUCAUCUAAUGAGGACAUUUACUGCUACACACAGGAAAGCUGCUUCUCCUGAAUCAAAGGUAGGUGUGUACUUCAGUGUCUUCCUGUAUGAUGACAUGAUUUACCUUAAGAACCUACAGAAAGAUUUCCAGAACAUUCAAAAAACGUUACCCUAAGGGUCUUGGUUUUCAAAGCACCAUUUCCACUUCAGUCACCUGAACUAACUUCACAUAUGCUGUAUUAGAAACAUGAGUCUUGCUUGCCAUGGAAAGUCACCCUGGAUGAAACCUGUAACAGCUUCUUUGCACUCUGCAGUUUUUCAUUCAAAGCUGCUGUAAAAAGUGAUUGUGAAUAUCAAGGCAUGGACUAAAAUUCAUUUCCAAAGCAAAAGGGAGCAAUGGCCACAAUAUACAAAGGUAACGACUGGUACACACACAGCUUUACAUCCUUUGGAUGGAUCUCUGAUCAUCCUUAUGGAUCAAGAUUCAGGUUAAGAGACAUUGUGCCAUCCAGCUGUCAUUAGAUACUGCUGGGGGUAAGAACAUGUUAAAGCAAGCAAGUUUUCUUUCAUAGUAUUUAGGGUGCUGGAUUUUUUGGUUCUGUUUGGUCAAUGGUUUGGGGGUUUCUUAAUAUUAGAACUUAUAUAGAACUGAAUUUUAAAAAAAUUACAGUGAGCAAAGACUGUGAAAAUUACAGUGAAUUACUGUAAAAAAUUACAGUGAGCAAAGAAUUUUAAAAAAAAUUACAGUGAGCAAAGACCAAAUCAUUAGCCAACUCACAGUUUCAUUAAACACUAUUUUCAAAUAAUUAAUUAAGAAUUCCUCCCCGCUCCCUUAUCCCAAGCACACUUAUGGAUACAAUGUACAUGCACAAAAGUGGAAUAAAGGUUGCUGGAAGUAUAAAUCAUCAUCAUGCAUCUUGUAACUUCAGCAAAGUGUGUUCUUAGAGGAGUACCUUAGAACUCAAGUAAAAAACAUGUUUCUACAGAAAUAAAUUCUCAUUAUGAAAACCCUUCUCCAAUGUAAGCAACAUGUACAGCAUGCACUAAAGGUUAGUAAAGCAAAUUUAUGUAUUGUUGCUGCAGUCUUAUCUUUGCAUCUUAACUCUACAGUGUUGAUUCCCACCUUGCAAGCUUAAAGACUUACUUGUAAUGGUAAAGCAUAAAUUAAAAAAAAUACUGAAGCCCAUUGCAACAGAUCACCAUGUUUUUAAAAAAAGAAAAAAGAAAAAAGCAUUUUAGACCAGGGUAAACCUCUGUGUGUUCACAUGCACCAAAAGCUGAAAAUCUAUCAACAGAAGGAGCAAGCAAGUAUAAUAGCUUGAAAUCCAAAAGUUAAUAAAACUUAUGCAGAAGAAGCUUCACAGUUAGCCACUGCAACCAUAGCAUGUGCCACAGCUAGAAAUUAAAAAAUAUCAUCAGUUACCAAUUACAGAAGUAGAUCAGUACUAUGCAUCAGAAGUAAGUCUCUCUUUAUCAGAUGGCUGAGCAUGGAUCUCAGCCUUGUGAUAUGUGGCAUCGUAAUGAUCUUUCUUAUUUCUCUUGAAGAAACCACACUACAAGGAAGCAAGGUAUUUAGUCAUUUUUUGUGGACUGGAAGAAGUCAAACCUAUUAAAACUGACUUAAGUCUGUCAACUGUCUUCCCAUUAUCCCUUCACAGGCCAAAAAACCAAAAAUUAAAAAGUCAUCACAAGAACUGAGCUGUUUCUAGCUCUGAGAACUUCUUGGGCUAACUUGAUCUAUACAAUAACAGAAUGAAAUAACUUAUAAACAGAGUAACCUGAGAAUAUUAUAUCAGAGGCAUUUUGAUAAAUUUGUAGAGAAUCUGUUUGGGGUUCUUUUAAGACAAGCUACAAUAAAAGAUGUCCAUAGCGAGUGAAGGUGGCUGUGAAGAGCAGAAAGAACCCUAUACAGAAAGCUGUUUGUGGACUUGUGCAUGGGACAGACAAAACGCCAGGAUGUAGAACAAAACCAGUUACUGCUUUGGCCCCUUCAAUACAAGCUUUUGUCUUAAACCAAUGAUGUAUCUGUCUUUCCAGUAUGAUGUUUGUUCUUCGUAGAACAGCACAGUCUGUGUCAUCAAAACAGUAUUUUUCACUGUGUGUGCAUGUGAAAAAUGUUUGUUAUUUUCAUGCACAGUAAAACACUAGAACCUAACAGCCCACCCAGUAUUCAUUCAUCAGGAGUAUUUACAGGAGCAGCUGGGCAUUUUUUAGGAAAUAAGGAAAUCACAGCUAUCCUAUGGGAAGCAAAUUGCAGCAAAUAGCUCCUCAAAGCUAACUGCUGCAGUUUCACUGGGAAAAAAGUGACAGAUAGGAUAUUCUUCACCUCCUCUUCCUUAAAUAACCUUCUGCUAUCUAAUAACAGCAAAUACUACUAACCUAUAAAAACUAAGAAUGAAAGGAUUGCUCUGUUAUACCUGGGACCACAAAUAUCAGGCAUUUUUACAAAGGUAAUUAGAAAAAAAGACACUUGACUUUUUCUUUUGCAAAUAGUUAACCAUUUGUUAUACCUCUUUAUUUAUUUAAGGUUUCUAAUAUAAAAAAGCAAUAAUAAGAAAUUCACUAGCACACAUGGCUAUAUAUUAAUACUGUGCUUUUGGUUAUUUUCAUCUACUAUCAGUUUAAUGGUAUUUCUGAUGUUAUGAGAACUAAAACAUUUCUAAAUAGCUCACAUGAAGGUUUACACCUAACUGCAGAGGCUCCCAAUGGCUCUAUCUAUCUGUAUCAAACUAUGGCCUCUGAACAUUUGUCUCAAGUUUCAUCUGGAGCUCAAAAUACUUCCUUUUAAGGAUGCGAAAAUAGAAAAAUUAUGUAACAAGUCUGCCCAUACAACCAUUUUAAUUCCAAGUGUUGCAAAACUGAGAAACUGAUAAUGUGUGAUUUGUGCAGUUUUGCCCUGAGUCCCAAAUACUUAAUUAGUUUGCUAUCUUGUCAGUUAGAGACCCGAAAAUAAAAAAUAACCAGAUUAAUAAAAGCUCACCUUCCAUAGUAAGAAUACCAAUAGUGCAAGCAUGAGUAUUCCAGCAAGGAUAGCCACUGCAAUGAUCCACCAUGGAACUCCUGUGUAAAGGGCUACUGGUUUUGCAGGAAAUACAGUAACACGCACCUAUGGGACAGAAAA